rnacentral:rRNA from 1 species
GAUGAACGCUGGCGGCGUGCCUAAUACAUGCAAGUCGAGCGAAUGGAUUAAGAGCCUGCUCUUAUGAAGUUAGCGGCGGACGGGUGAGUAACACGUGGGUAACCUGCCCAUAAGACUGGGAUAACUCCGGGAAACCGGGGCUAAUACCGGAUAACAUUUUGAACCGCAUGGUUCGAAAUUGAAAGGCGGCUUCGGCUGUCACUUAUGGAUGGACCCGCGUCGCAUUAGCUAGUUGGUGAGGUAACGGCUCACCAAGGCAACGAUGCGUAGCCGACCUGGGAGGGUGUUCGGCCACACUGAGACUGAGACACGGCCCAGACUCCUACGGGAGGAAGCAGUAGGGAAUCUUCCGCAAUGGACGAAAGUCUGACGGAGCAACGCCGCGUGAGUGAUGAAGGCUUUCGGGUCGUAAAACUCUGUUGUUAGGGAAGAACAAGUGCUAGUUGAAUAAGCUGGCACCUUGACGGUACCUAACCAGAAAGCCACGGCUAACUACGUGCCAGCCGCCGCGGUAA